UGCCAGUUAGCUCAGUCAGUUAGAGCGUGGUGCUGAUAACACUGAGGCCACAGGUUCGAUCCCCGCUCGGACCCCCUGU
rfam:Apaloderma vittatum contig41647, whole genome shotgun sequence.